CGCCGCGUGAGGGAUGACGGCCUUCGGGUUGUAAACCUCUUUCAGCACAGACGAAGCGUGAGUGACGGUAUGUGCAGAAGAAGGACCGGCCAACUACGUGCCAGCAGCCGCGGUAAUACGUAGGGUCCGAGCGUUGUCCGGAAUUACUGGGCGUAAAGAGCUCGUAGGUGGUUUGUCGCGUUGUUCGUGAAAACUCACAGCUUAACUGUGGGCGUGCGGGCGAUACGGGCAGACUUGAGUACUGCAGGGGAGACUGGAAUUCCUGGUGUAGCGGUGGAAUGCGCAGAUAUCAGGAGGAACACCGGUGGCGAAGGCGGGUCUCUGGGCAGUAACUGACGCUGAGGAGCGAAAGCGUGGGGAGCGAACAGGAUUAGAUACCCUGGUAGUCCACGCCGUAAACGGUGGGUACUAGGUGUGGGUUUCCUUCCUUGGGAUCCGUGCCGUAGCUAACGCAUUAAGUACCCCGCC
rnacentral:rRNA from 1 species